AGCUGAAGGGAAUAGAGCCUUUAGGAAGGAAGGGUUCAGAGACACUACAGCUAUUGGGUGUGCUACCCUUAGGGCUAAUGGGGCACCAGGAGCCCAUAAGGUACCCUUAUCUACAGGCACCCAGUAUUAGAGAAGGAGUUUUGUUCUUUUAAAGGGGUGGAGCAUGCCUUGCACUUUGUAUUACGUUAUAGCUCGGGGGCUUUUGUUUGGUUGCUGUUGUUUGUUUGUUUGCUGUCUGAUAACACUGGUGGUCUGGGUGAGGCUAUUUGGGGAAAGAGGAGGCCUCAUUGGGGACCUACUACAGUGUGAGGGCCCAGGUGCCACUGAGGCAUAGAGACAGGGCUGCAGAGGGCCCAGGUGCCACUGAGGCUAAAGCACAGCAAGGCCUAGACUGGACAGUGUCAAUGCCAUCUGUGAGGCUUGGGGCAUGGUAAAGGGGUGGUUGGCACCACACAACCCAUAAGGCUGAGAGGCUCAGGCACCAUACAACAUAACAUGGUAUGCCAAGGGCUCUAUGAACCACAGGGUUCUGUAAGAUCUAGCCAGACCGUGUCUAAACCCAAGGAUCAAGGGCAGCCUCCCUAUAUCAAUUAUACCAACAAGAUGUGGUGGGUGAGAUAGAAAAUGCCUGUAGGGCAAGACUAGCAUGGUUAAGGAGCCUAGGGGUAACACAGCCACCCCUAGGGACCCCACCUUGCUACACCAUCCUAUAACAGGCUGGCUUGCAGCAGACUGCACACUUUAUGCUGGAGGAGUCUGUAGGCUUGUGGGAGACUACAGCCAGCUGAAGGCAGUUAGGAGUAAUUGCAGGCUGCCUAGAAGAAUAGGACCAGCUGCAGAGGAUAAUUAGCUGGCCAGAGGAAGUUAAAGGCUCCUAAGGAGAGCAGAGGGGCUCAAGAGAGAGUGGUUAGUGGUGGCAGAACUGAGCUAAGGGCUCUUCUAGGGUCUGGCAAAAGAUUCAAGGCUGUAAGGGUGGAGGCCAAGGUUCCCUCUAAGGUGUGCAUGGCUGUGCUUGAGUAAAAGGCUGGCCACCCCCAAACUCUUCAGGCUGCACACCCACUAGGAAUGGAGCGUGGGACACUUACUAAAGAUAAUCUCUUCCUCAAGGUGAUGCAGGGAACGGAGUGGUUUCCUGGAGCCUGUGCCAGGCCCCAGCCCCUGCUGCCUGCCCCGGAUGAAGUGAGGAGCUUGCCUUCAGUAAGCGUCCCACACUGCACCGAAAGGGGGAAGUGGGUCUGAAGUGGCACGCUCAUGGAGGCAAUAGCGCUAUGAAGCCAGGAGAGAGAAGGAAGUUCUGCACCACAGUUUAAGGGAGCAGCAUGAAGCUGGAAGUACCUUCUUGGAGUCUGGUGAGAGACUUCAGGAUUGUGAGUUGCCCUUCAUGGACUGUUUUGAGGACUAGUUUACAUUGAUUCUUGUAUGGCAAGGGCGCCCAGGAAUAAGUGUAUGGUGUGAGACUUAAGAUAACUAGUUAAGCUAAGCAUUAACCCUGAACCUGCUACAUACACCUAGACCAUCCCUGACCAGUGGCUGUCCAAUAUUCUUGAAUGCCUCCAGUGAUGGAGAGGCCACAAUUGCCCUUGGCAGUCUAUUCUGCUGCUUUACUGUUCUAACAGUGAAAACAAUUUUCUGGAUCUCCAAGCUAAACUUUGAUGCAACUUCAAGCUGUUGGUCUGCACCUUCCUUUUUUCAGCAAGAGAGAAAAGUGCUCUACUUCUUCUUUAUGGCAACCCUUCAAGUAUUUCAAGACUGCUGUUAUGUCCCCUCCUAAGCACCUUUUUCACAAGCUGAAUGUGCCUAGCUCCUUCAGCCUCUUCCUUUGUUACCUUCCAAGCCCUUGAUCAUUUUGUUGGCUGCCUCGGAACCCUCUAAUUUCUAACUUUUCCAUGUCCUCUUUAAAAAGUGGAGCCCAGAACUGCACACAGUGUUCCAGGUGAGAUGUAACCAGUCCCAGGUAGAAGCACUACUACCUUCCAUGUCUUGCACUUAAUGCUUCUAUUGAUGCAUCCCAAAACUUCAUUCACUUUUUGUGCAUCUGCAUCACACUGCAGACUCGUACUGAAUGUGUGGUCUACCAAGACUCCCAAGUCCUCUUCCAUAGAGCUGCUCUCUAAAUUACUUUGUAUUGGAGUUCUUGAUUAUUCCUCUGCAGCAGGGCUGAAUUAUGACAUGCUGGGGCCCUAAGCUAUGUCAAGCUCAAGAGGCCCCAUAGCAUUACCAAAAAAAAUGUAUUAUUCUAACGGGACAAUGAAAAUAGAAAUAUUAAAGCUUUUUAUAUUUGCAUAUAUACACAGAUGAAGAUGCAACAAAAAAACUAAUAAUCUAACUAAAACAUACAUCUUACAAAAAGCCUAUUUGCAUUAUGAAAUACUUUCAAGUUAAAAUACUUUAUGAUUUCUUGGCAUAUAUGAAAACUUUUAAUCUACAGCAACACAAGAGCAGUUGCACAGAUCAGCACUUAUGAAAUGGAAGCAUCAGUACAACCUGUAUUAUGUCUAUUUCCACGUCACCUCAAAUUUUAAAACAUUUUCUUUCAUGACUUUUGGAGAGCAAAGUCACUGAUGUCCUCAAGUGAUAAGGUAUGAAGUUUAUCACUCUCUAUCUACAUAAUGCUUAGUGUAGACACCUUUUUCUUGCAGCGUUGUUGUUUGCAGUUUUUUCAGCUGUGAAAGUGACUUAAUGAUCUUCUCCUGAGCAGUUUGUUACCAUUAGACUCCAAAAGAGCCACAAUAUUGCUUCUACCCUAGGGAAAGCCAACUGAAUCUUGCCUUGGAUGAUGACUUGAUACAGGUCCUGGUGGCAUAGAUGUCCUUUAUCUGAAUUAUUUUGCUUUAUAUAAGCAUGGGAGUGCUUUAUUUCUCCAACGAGGUUAACAUCAACAUAGGGUAGUCUUUCAUUUGAAGCUUUACACCUUCACACUGCUGCUUUUCCAAGGCAUCUAUGUCAACCAAAAACGAUUUUGCAAAAUUUUUGUCUAUGACUGUUCUUUUCUUCAAGUGGGUUUCAAGUGCAUCCAUCAUAGGAAUAAAGGAUUUCACUUGAAACUUGUCUCUUGAAGAAAGUGUUUCAUCAGCAUUAGGUGCAUCACCAUCAUUGAUUUUGUUUUUGGUUUGUGUUUUUUUUUUUUUUUUUUUUUGUUUGUUUGUUUGUUUGUUUUUUUGUUUUCUCUCAUUCUCUUCCUUUUAUUCACACACUUGUAGUCUACAUCAGGCAGACUUUCUUUUGCUUUGAAUUCAAUUUCAUCAAAACUUUCUCUGGGUUUCUUUCAAGAAAUGAGAGCGAUGUGCAAAGCUUUGCACAUGUACUAAGGGCUAUCUGUGUAUCCUGUAGGGCCUUGCUGGUUUCCUGAAACUGAUCUAACAAAUGAUUCUAAAGUUCUAACAGGAACACACUUUAGUUCCUCCAUUUCUUUUUUUUUCUCUUGAAGAAUGCCAGCUUCUCUCCUUGUAUCACUCACAUUCAUACUGAUGAAGUAAAAAAGGUAAGAGCAUCAGUAAUUGAAUCAUAUAACUCAGCUGUGGCCUUUGCAACUAGGUGGUAAGCAUAUACAGAGAGAAGUUUUGGUACUGUGGAAUCAGGACCCAAAAGUGAUUUGAGUACUGUCCAUCAUUUUGUAGAGGCAGAGAAGAAUGUGUAUAUUUGUUGUACAACAGCCAAAAAAAAAAAAAAAAUAUUUACUGCAAUCAACUGCAGCUCACCCAACAAGAUUCAGUGGAUGUCCAGCGCAUGGAAUAUACAUAUAGCAUACUUUUUUUUUUUUCCUCUAGAAGUUUUUGCUGCAUGACAUUAUACCUUCCUGCUAUGUUGGCUGCGUUAUCUUCUGACUGUCCUCUGCACUUGCUGAAGUCAACUUUGCAGUCAUUGCCUAGAUAAUCCAGUACCAUGUUGGCCAUACUUUCACCACUAUGAUUUUUCUAAUUGAAGGAAAGCUAGAAAGCGUUCAAUGGGAAAACCAUUAUUGGGUGACACGCAUCUUACAAUAUGAUGCUGCCGCCUCCAUUAAGCACCCCCUGCUAUUGCUUUGUGUGUGGCUGGUGCUCUAGAACCAGCCGCCAGUAAUACUCAUUUUCCCCCCCCCCCUUCCCAACUCCCUGACCAGCUGCAGUGCUGGUUUAAAAAAAACAGCAUUUUCAAAUUUCUGGCAUGUGCUCAGUCCCGAGCACGCCAGAUUUGUGAGGUUUGACGGUAUUUUUUUUUUUCCAUAUUUA